rnacentral:rRNA from 1 species
GACGGGGGAUGCAAGUGUUAUCCGGAAUCACUGGGCGUAAAGCGUCUGUAGGUGGUUUAAUAAGUCAACUGUUAAAUCUUGAGGCUCAACCUCAAAAUCGCAGUCGAAACUAUUAGGCUAGAGUAUAGUAGGGGUAAAGGGAAUUUCCAGUGGAGCGGUGAAAUGCGUAGAGAUUGGAAAGAACACCGAUGGCGAAGGCACUUUACUGGGCUAUUACUAACACUCAGAGACGAAAGCUAGGGUAGCAAAUGGG